CUAAUCCUAAUGAUAAUCAAUCAAUACAAGCACAACAAAGUGGGAUGAUGGUGGAUUCAAUGGAUGAUGGAAGUAUAGAUGAUCGUCGGCGUUUGAAAGAAUCACAAUUUAAAAAAAGAAAAAUGGAGAAAAAUGUAUUGGAAAUAAAGAAUGAGGUUGAUAAAUUUUUGUUUGAUCCAUGUGAGGAUGUGGAGAGUGAGAAAUUUGAUAUUUUGGCUUGGUGGAAAAAUAAUUGCACAAAAUAUUGAAUUUUAUCUCAAAUUGCAAGAGAUGUAUAUGCCAUUCCAGUUUCUACAGUAGCAUCUGAAUCUGCAUUUAGUACCGGAGGACGUAUUCUUGAUGCAUUUCGAAGUUCAUUGGGUCCAAAGAUGGUGGAGGCUUUGAUUUGUUCACAAAAUUGGUUGAAAUCAAAUCCUAUGAGAUAUGAUUAUAGAGUUGAAGUACCAAUUGAGGAUGUUGCAUAUUAUGAUUCUAUUGAAUCAGGAGCAUCUUGUGUUACAAAACAAAAUCUACCUCCAUCUAAUUGAUCUAUGAUUGCUUGGAUGAAUGGAAUAUGGCUUUGCAUGGCAUAUUGUGAUAAUGGGAUUGUGGUUGAUGGUGGUUGCUCGUGGAAUGAAGUGUGUGAAAGAAGACUAUUUAAA